ACGGAUUAGUGUUGAUGCCAAGGGAAUAAUUCCAUCUCCAGAAAUACCCCUAUGAUUUCAGACUUUCCUCUUCUCUUUUCUUUUCUCUUCCCCCGCCUUCUCCGUUUUGCUUUAUUCUGGGCACUCGCCGAUCCAAAGGGCAAAAAAGUAUUUUUCUGGACUGGGCGAAGCUCCGAGGCAGCAAAGCAAAACUUUCCAUGAAUUCCUGUUGAUCCUGGAGUCGCGCUUUUACACAGCGGGAUGGAUUCAGGACAAAUAUAGGAUGCUGGCCGGGCCUUGCGGCUUUCCACAGAUAGCUGCUCGUGCCCCAGCCAAAGCAAACGGUACGGAUAUGAAAACCAACACCGAACUAGACGGGAAGAUAAUGCAAAAUGCUGCAAGAACAGUUGUGGCAUAACCCCAUGGACUCAGCACUGAGUGUCUGCAGGAGUGGUUCCCAGAUGUGGCAAAGCUGCCUUGUGUUGUUGGGUUUUUUUUUUCCUUUUCACCCUGGACUCCGCACAUGAGGGAGGUCUGUUGGACAAGGCAGGUGUUCUGGCCCUGCCAGAAGGCUUAAACCUUUGAAAAGGUCACAGCUUUUCUGUCAACCACCUUCCCCGCCUCUGCUAUAUCAAAAGAGAUCCAGGAAGGGCGGCAGCAUCUUUUCCAAAACACUAACGAGAGAAUCACUGCCUCCUCUGGAGAUGUUUUCCAAAAGAGCAGACUCCCCAAAUCCCAACGUUGCGUCUUGUGAGGUAUCCGAUAGAAAGCAAAAGCAGGAUUUUCCAUCCAUAAAGACAUCAACACCUUCUUCUGCCAGAAUGCCGACCUUCUCCACGCAGGAAUGUGGGACGAGGCCGGCGAGUCAUGGAAGACUCCACCAACCACGAUGGAAGAAAGCGGUCAUGGUGUUUUAUUCAGGCUUAUCAAGGGACCAGGGGAGGCGAGCCAGACUGGAAAACAAUGGCUGGUUCAGUCAUCAGCAACAAUGGAAAGCCGGGUGGGGUGACUUGGGGCUUGCCAGAGGCAGCUGGAGGGCCCCUCCCAGCAUUCUUCACCUUCGGCAACAUCCACCAACAGACCAGGCUAGUGACACUAUGUUGCUGCUGCGGCUGCUGCGGCUGCUACUUCGGUCUUCCGUGCCUUGGUAGCAAUAGACUCUGGACUCACUUGCAGACGUCAACUCAUCCUUGCUGGUCUUUCCGGGCAUCAGGAAAAGGGCCGUCGGCGAGCUUUCUACUCUAAGAGGGAUCUCCCGGAACAACAGAAGACGUUGGCUGUUUUACCCUCUUUAGAUAGACGCUCUUUGGCCACCACGGUCUGGCCUUAUUGCUUUGCAACAGAGGCAGGGCAGAAGGGAGCAAGGAUUUGAGGGCAGAAAAUCAGAAAAGGGUCGAUACCUUUAUUAAACCACUGGAAAACCGUCAAGCAAAGAACAAACAGCUGAAGCUAAUCUGGCCUCAACGAUGGCCAUGAAACUUUGGGGUUCUAAUAAAUGUAUAUAAUCUUCUGAACUACCCA
rnacentral:lncRNA from 1 species